GCGGGCGUAGCUCAGCGGCUAGAGCAGCGCUCUCCAAAAGCGCAGGUCGCAGGUUCGAGUCCUGCCGCCCGUGCCA
rnacentral:tRNA from 1 species